GGCUUUGCCUGCUAUCUCUUACCCAUGUCUUUUGAGUACCUUACGUUUCCUCGGUGGGUUCGCCCACCGAUUGGACAAAUUUAAACCCUUUGCAGUUGAAAUCAGCGUCUGAAAAAACUUAAUAGUUACAACUUUCAACAACGGAUCUCUUGGUUCUGGCAUCGAUGAAGAACGCAGCGAAAUGCGAUAAGUAGUGUGAAUUGCAGAAUUCAGUGAAUCAUCGAAUCUUUGAACGCACAUUGCGCCCCUUGGUAUUCCAUGGGGCAUGCCUGUUCGAGCGUCAUUUGUACCUUCAAGCUCUGCUUGGUGUUGGGUGUUUGUCUCCUGUAGACUCGCCUUAAAACAAUUGGCAGCCGGCGUAUUGAUUUCGGAGCGCAGUACAUCUCGCGCUUUGCACUCAUAACGACGACAUCCAAAAGUACAUUUUUACACUCUUGACCUCGGAUCAGGUAGGGAUACCCGCUGAACUUAAGCAUAUCAAUAAGGCGGAGGAAGAACUUUAC
rnacentral:rRNA from 1 species